rnacentral:rRNA from 1 species
GAUGAACGCUAGCUACAGGCUUAACACAUGCAAGUCGAGGGGUAGCAGGGUAGCAAUACCGCUGACGACCGGCGCACGGGUGAGUAACACGUAUCCAACCUUCCCAUAACUCGGGGAUAGCCUUUCGAAAGAAAGAUUAAUACCCGAUAGUACUUUUUCAAGGCAUCUUGAGAAAGUUAAAGAUUUAUUGGUUAUGGAUGGGGAUGCGUUCCAUUAGAUAGUUGGUGAGGUAACGGCUCACCAAGUCUUCGAUGGAUAGGGGUUCUGAGAGGAAGGUCCCCCACAUUGGUACUGAGACACGGACCAAACUCCAACGGGAGGCAGCAGUGAGGAAUAUUGGUCAAUGGGCGAGAGCCUGAACCAGCCAAGUAGCGUGAAGGAUGAAGGUCCUAUGGAUUGUAAACUUCUUUUAUAGUAGAAUAGAGUGAUCCACGUGUGGAUUUUUGUAUGUAUACUAUGAAUAAGGAUCGGCUAACUCCGUGCCAGCAGCCGCAGUAACAC